rnacentral:rRNA from 1 species
ACUUUUAACAAUGGAUCUCUAGGCUCUCAUAUCGAUGAAGAACACAGUGAAAUGUGAUAAUUAAUGUGAAUUGCAGAAUUCAGUGAAUCAUCAAGUUUUUGAACGCACCUUGCACCUUUUGGUAUUCCAAAAGGUACACCUGUUUGAGUGUCAUG